AGGGGAGGCAACCGGCCAGCCGGACCGGGGCGUGCCGAUUGGAAACUUUUCCGGAGCGGAAAUUGGCGCUGCCUAGUGGCGGACGGGUGAGUAACGCGUGAGCAACCUGCCCUGCACUGGGGACAACAGCCGGAAACGGCUGCUAAUACCGCAUGAUCCGGGAGGGCCGCAUGGCCCUGCCGGGAAAGCUCCGGCGGCACGGGAUGGGCCCGCGUCUGAUUAGUUUGUUGGCGGGGUAACGGCCCACCAAGACUGCGAUCAGCAGCCGGCCUGAGAGGGCGGCCGGCCACAUUGGGACUGAGACACGGCCCAGACUCCUGCGGGAGGCAGCAGUGGGGAAUAUUGCACAAUGGGGGAAACCCUGAUGCAGCGACGCCGCGUGGGCGACGAAGCGCUCCGGCGCGUAAAGCCCUGUCAGCAGGGAAGAAAAAAGACAGUACCUGACCAAGAAGCCCCGGCUAACUACGUGCCAGCAGCCGCGGUAAUACGUAGGGGGCAAGCGUUAUCCGGAUUCACUGGGCGUAAAGGGAGCGCAGGCGGCACGGCAAGUCUGGUGUGAAAGCCCGGGGCCCAACCCCGGGACUGCAUUGGAAACUGCCGGGCUGGAGUGCCGGAGGGGUAAGCGGAAUUCCUGGUGUAGCGGUGAAAUGCGCAGAUAUCAGGAAGAACACCGGUGGCGUAGGCGGCUUACUGGACGGCAACUGACGCUGAGGCUCGAAAGCGUGGGGAGCAAACAGGAUUAGAUACCCUGGUAGUCCACGCCGUANACGAUGAAUACCAGUUGUCGGCGGGCAGGGCCCGCCGGUGCCGCAGCUAACGCAGUANGUAUUCCGCCUGGGGAGUACGUUCGCAAGAAUGAAACUCAAAGGAAUUUGCGGGGACCCGCCACAGCCGUGGAGCAUGUGGUUUAAUUCAAACAACGCGAAGAACUUUACCAGGCUUGACAUCCUGCCGGGCACCUGUGCAAUGCAUGGUCCCUUCCGGGGUGGCAGUGGACAAG
rnacentral:rRNA from 1 species